rnacentral:rRNA from 1 species
AUUGAACGCUGGCGGCAUGCCUAACACAUGCAAGUCGAACGAGACCUUCGGGUCUAGUGGCGCACGGGUGCGUAACGCGUGGGAAUUUGCCUCGGGGUACGGAAUAACUCAGGGAAACUUGAGCUAAUACCGUAUGAUGUCUUCGGACCAAAGAUUUAUCGCCCUGAGAUAAGCCCGCGUAGGAUUAGCUAGUUGGUGAGGUAAGAGCUNACCAAGGCGACGAUCCUUAGCUGGUCUGAGAGGAUGAUCAGCCACACUGGGACUGAGACACGGCCCAGACUCCUACGGAGGCAGCAGUGGGGAAUAUUGG